rnacentral:misc_RNA from 1 species
CAACCUCCCACCCGUGUUGCCCGAACCUAUGUUGCCUCGGCGGGCCCCGCGCCCGCCGACGGCCCCCCUGAACGCUGUCUGAAGUUGCAGUCUGAGACCUAUAACGAAAUUAGUUAAAACUUUCAACAACGGAUCUCUUGGUUCCGGCAUCGAUGAAGAACGCAGCGAAAUGCGAUAACUAAUGUGAAUUGCAGAAUUCAGUGAAUCAUCGAGUCUUUGAACGCACAUUGCGCCCUCUGGUAUUCCGGAGGGCAUGCCUGUCCGAGCGUCAUUGCUGCCCUCAAGCCCGGCUUGUGUGUUGGGCCCCGUCCCCCCCGCCGGGGGGACGGGCCCGAAAGGCAGCGGCGGCACCGCGUCCGGUCCUCGAGCGUAUGGGGCUUCGUCACCCGCUCUAGUAGGCCCGGCCGGCGCCAGCCGACCCCCAACCUUUAAUUAUCUCAGGUUGACCUCGGAUCAGGUAGGGAUACCCGCUGAACUUAAGCAUAUCAAUAAGCGGAGGA